GGUGACUAGGGACAGAGGGGGUGAUUAGUGACAGAGUGAGGGAGGGGGUGACUAGUGACAGUGAGGGAGCGGGUGACAGUGACAGAGUUAGGGAGGGAGUGACUAGUGACAGUCACUCCCUCCCUCUGUCACCAGUCAUCCCCUCACUCUGUCACCAGUCACCCCUUCCCUCCCUCACUCUGCCACUAGUCACCCAUUCCCUAACUCUGUCACUAGUCACCCCCUCUCCCUCCCUAUGUCACUAGUCACCCCCACUUACUGUGUCUCCCCCUCACUCUGCCAC